rnacentral:rRNA from 1 species
AUUGAACGCUGGCGGCAUGCCUUACACAUGCAAGUCGAACGGUAACAGGGAGCUUGCUCCGCUGACGAGUGGCGAACGGGUGAGUAAUGCGUCGGAACGUGCCGAGUAGUGGGGGAUAACGCAGCGAAAGUUGUGCUAAUACCGCAUACGUACUGAGGUAGAAAGUGGGGGACCUUCGGGCCUCACGCUAUUCGAGCGGCCGACGUCUGAUUAGCUAGUAGGUGAGGUAAAGGCUCACCUAGGCGACGAUCAGUAGCGGGUCUGAGAGGAUGAUCCGCCACACUGGGACUGAGACACGGCCCAGACUCCUACGGGAGGCAGCAGUGGGGAAUUUUGGACAAUGGGCGAAAGCCUGAUCCAGCCAUGCCGCGUGUCUGAAGAAGGCCCUCGGGUUGUAAAGGACUUUUGUCGGGGAGGAAAUCCCCAGCGCUAAUACCGCUGGGGGAUGACAGUACCUGAAGAAUAAGCACCGGCUAACUACGUGCCAGCAGCCGCCGUAAAAC